GGACUAGGGCCUGCCCAGCUGGAGCGAUGGCAGUAAAGCCCAGAGCUGCAAGAGGUGUUGGAAGAUAUGGAGGUCCUUGAGGCUGUGUGCCCUGUUGGGCCGUUGCCGUAGUUACCCCUUGGCUGGACUGGACAUAGGUGUUAGUAACCUGGUGGGUGGGGAGGUCAGGAGAACGUUCUGCGGGGGUGCCCCAGCGGGAGCCAUCAUUGUUGCCAUGGAAACAGGAAAGGAGCUCCCCGGAUGUACGGCUGCUGUGCCGCUUGGGUGAACAUUGCUCUGCACAACAGGCAUGGAGGCAAUCUGGAAGAUCUUAUAAAACAUAAAAAAAAAUAUUACUACUUAAUGAGAUGUCUUUUGUUUUGUGACUGUUUUAUAAGCAUAUGUGAAAUUAAAAAAGUAAUAUGAGACCAGCUAAAUCUAUCCAAUCAGAAACAACUUUUAACUAUUUUUAUGAUGAAAACUGUUUAGUCAAUCACAAUCAUUCAAAACAUCUGGUUCUGGCAAAUAAAACAGCUAUUUGAAUUAUCCAGAUGAUUUCACAUCCCAAAUAUGUUUAGAAAUAGAUCUAUGUGGAAGCUCAAGGAAUAAAACCAACACAAUCCCAUCGAGCUUCAAGUAAAAGCUUGGAAAUAUUAGUGUAGUUUUUAAAAAAAUCAGCUGCUGCUUGUUUGAGGAUGAACUUGCCGAACAUUUAAACUCAAUGCACACCUGUAAACCAACAGGUCCUUACUUGCAAAUGUAAAAAAAAAAA